GAUUUCUGACUUGGCGCACCUGGCCCGCCACGGUUACGUGUGUGAGUGCCGGGAUGCGCCUGUCACUGUUCUGGUAAACUAUUGUGCUCUUCAUUGGGUGUGAUAGGUAGCCAGAUAUUUUACUUUGAAAAAAUUAGAGUGUUUAAAGCAGGCGUUUGCUAUGAAUACAUUAGCAUGGAAUAAUAAGUUAGGACUUCGGUUCUAUUUUGUUGGUUUCUAGGACUGAAGUAAUGAUUGAUAGGGAUAGUUGGGGGUGCUGAUAUUCAUUGGCCAGAGGUGAAAUUCUUGGAUUCAAUGAAGAUCAACUUAUGCGAAAGCAUU
rnacentral:rRNA from 1 species